UGGGGAAUCUUGCGCAAUGGGCGAAAGCCUGACGCAGCGACGCCGCGUGUGGGAUGAAGGUCUUCGGAUUGUAAACCACUGUCGGGAGGGACGAAGCUCUGACGGUACCUCCAAAGGAAGCACCGGCUAACUCUGUGCCAGCAGCCGCGGUAAUACAGAGGCCACGAACGUUGUUCGGAAUCACUGGGCAUAAAGCGCACGUAGGCGGCUAGGUCCGUCCGAUGUGAAAGCCCCCGGCUCAACCGGGGAAUUGCAUCGGAUACAGCCUGGCUUGGGGACGGUUGGGGUGAGUGGAACUCCUGGUGGAGCGGUGAAAUGCGUAGAUAUCAGGAGGAACACCGGUGGCGAAAGCGGCUCACUGGACCGUUACUGACGCUGAGGUGCGAAAGCUAGGGGAGCAAACGGGGAUUAGAUACCCUCGUAGUCCCUGAGCGGGCUGGCAAGGCGCAU
rnacentral:rRNA from 1 species